GAUGAACGCUAGCGGCAGGCUUAAUACAUGCAAGUCGAGGGGCAGCAUGAUUGUAGCAAUACAAUUGAUGGCGACCGGCAAACGGGUGCGGAACACGUACACAACCUUCCAACAAGUGGGGGAUAGCCCAGAGAAAUUUGGAUUAAUACCCCGUAACAUAUCGAUGUGGCAUCACAUUGCUAUUAUAGAUUUUUCGCUUGUUGAUGGGUGUGCGGCUGAUUAGAUAGUUGGCGGGGUAACGGCCCACCAAGUCUACGAUCAGUAGCUGAUGUGAGAGCAUGAUCAGCCACACGGGCACUGAGACACGGGCCCGACUCCUACGGGAGGCAGCAGUAAGGAAUAUUGGACAAUGGACGCAAGUCUGAUCCAGCCAUGCCGCGUGAAGGAUUAAGGUCCUCUGGAUUGUAAACUUCAUUUAUAAGGGACGAAAAAAGGCUUUUCUAAGUCGUCUGACGGUACCUUAUGAAUAAGCACCGGCUAACUCCGUGCCAGCAGCCGCCGUAA
rnacentral:rRNA from 1 species